rnacentral:rRNA from 1 species
GCACAAGCGGUGGAUGAUGUGGAUUAAUUCGAUGCAACGCGAAAACCUUACUACCCUUGACAUGUCCGGAAUCCUGCAGAGAUGCGGGAGUGCCCGAAAGGGAAUCGGAACACAGGUGCUGCAUGGCUGUCGUCAGCUCGUGUCGUGAGAUGUUCGGGUUAAGUCCCGCAACGAGCGCAACCCUUUAUCAUUAGUUGCUACGCAAGGGCACUCUAAUGAGACUGCCGGUGACAAACCGGAGGGAAGGUGGGGAUGACGUCAAGUCCUCAUCGGCCCUUAUGGGUAGGGCUUCACACGUCAUACAAUGGUCGGUACAGAGGGUUGCCAAGCCGCGAGGUGGAGCCAAUCCCAGAAAGCCGAUCGUAGUCCGGAUCGCAGUCUGCAACUCGACUGCGUGAAGUCGGAAUCGCUAGUAAUCGUGGAUCAGAAUGUCACGGUGAAUACGUUCCCGGGUCUU